AUAUUUAUAAGGCCUUUGUUGCCUUUUUAUAAGGUUUUAACAAUAUCAUAUGGCUUAUAUUAACAAUAUCAUAUGGCUUGACUUGUGAUGCAGUUAGUUAGAUAAAUAUUAAAGAGAUAUUUUUUUAUGACGGUAAUAUUUUAUGGGUGUGGAUUACAAGUAGAUUUUGCUUGAAUUUUUUUACAGUUUUUAAGAACCACUACUGUUCUUAUGCAAGAGAAAAUAUAAUCUAACCAAAAAUAACCAAGUACCUACUCCUAUAACGCAAAAAAAGAAAUGCAAAACAACUUUUAUGCAUACUCCGCAUGCUAUAGUUCAAGGAUCAGCAAUGGCAAAAUUUUCCUGAGGAAAGAGAGUAUUUUAAUAUAGUGCAAAGCUAUGUGUUUUUCCACAGAAAAAAAAAAAAGAUUGUUUUACCAGAGACACCUCCAUUUGUUUCCCUUAUAAGAAAAGCUACUAAAAAAGAUUCCUUAUCGAAUGGCAAGUCUCCCAUUACUGAGAAUUUCAGAAGAAAGUUUUAAAUGCACUGGUAGAAAAGAAAGAAAUGUUAGUAAAGCUCUUUCCAGUAAUUAAAAUAAUAUCACGACUAAUAGUCCUGAUAUUUUAUGGAUGAAUUGGCAGCAGUCAUUUAGUGAUUAUGAUGACAGUUUUAAUAAUUUUUGGAUGAGGUCUAAAGAAUUAUGAUAACAGUUUAAACAAGUGAUUUCUAAAGUGGUUAACAAACUUUCUAAAAUCAGAGAGAGCAUCAUGUCAAUUAAAGCGACUGCUACAGUUACCGAAAUAGGAAAAGGAAUAAUGACUUUAUUCAAAUAUGCACUCGACAGAUCGAAUGGUGGUGGUCGGUACAAAACAACAUUCAUACUUUUUCCUUAUUGUUCUGAAACUAUUGAUAAAUAAAACUUUUUUUUUCAAACAAUUUAUUUUAUUUGCAUUUUAUAUAAAGUCCCUUGAAGCAAUUUAGUUGUAUCUGAUUAAU
rnacentral:lncRNA from 1 species